GGGCUGAAGACCAGGAAAAAGAAACCUGAUAAUGAGGGAGGUGAGUCAGAGGAAGAGCCGGGAGAGCAGUUUCCUGCUGCAGUCUGAAA